rnacentral:lncRNA from 1 species
GCCAAACAUCCCGCCAUAGGGCUUCCUAUUGGGACCCCUUGGAGUUGCUUGUAGUAGACUCCAUCAUAUUCAAAGUACAUGUUGUGGCAGAUAAUGUAAGCAAUGUCAUGUAACAGCUCAGGGUCACAGCAAUUUUCUUGGGUGUGUUCCAACAGAAACCUAUACAAUAAGAGGCAGGUGGCAUUUCAGCUAAGUGAUGGGUAUAAGGACUCGAAGUCCAGGGUUGUCAUAUGGCUAACCUCAGAAGUGUAUUGUUGCCUCAAUUUUUCCAAAAAUUCCAAGGGGGAGGAGUUAGAAAGGGGGUAAGAUGUCAUAAGGCUUUGACAC